rfam:Myotis brandtii contig308288, whole genome shotgun sequence.
GGCAGUUCUCGGGUGACACACCCCGGAAUCAGCUCCCUUCUCUCUGGUUCUGUAUGCAUCACCUGAGAACUACA